rnacentral:miRNA from 7 species
ACCUAAAAGUGAAAGACCCCCGAAGGGAGACCCUCACUCAAGCCUCAGGACAGCCGCGGACCCAAGAAGACACUGAGACCG